GCUUGCACUAACUGGGCGGAGUCUCCCGGGUACCCCGAGUCCCAGCCUCGGUCCAGCCUCGUCGCACGCAGCUGGCGGAUCUCUUCUGCCACGCGGGCAUCAGGUGCAUUCAUUUCACCCUGAAAUCUGAGAAAGAAGAGUUUAUCAGCUCUCCUCCUCUGUUCUCACUUCCAAAAUAUGCGCCCCCCAAAACCCUGCGAAUGAGAAGCUUGCCCUGGCAUGUAGGAUAUCCAGUUCUUACACACCUUGGUUCAACUACUCCGUGGAAUUCAGAGAUUAAGCUCUCCAACACUAAUAUGGAUGAUCUAGAACCAAAUACAGCUUGAUCCCAUUUCCUUUGAAUGUGGACUGGACUUAGUGACUCACUUCUAAUGAAUAGACUAUAGCCUGAGUGACGGU